UCCCCCCUCCCCUUCCCUCCCCUCCCUCACUUGCUUGUUCCUCGUUUUCCUCCCCUCCUCCUCCUCCUCCUUUCCCGGUCAGCUCGUCUCCUCGGGCGAGAGUGAGCGCUAUGCUGGAACCGUUCCGUCGCCUCCUCCCCCAGCGGGCAGGGCUCAAGAGGAGCGCAUGGGGAGCUCUCUCUCUCUUUCUCUCUUCCUCCCUCUUUCGUCUCCUCACAGGGUGAUGAGGGAGCAGCGCUGUUGGCGGUAGAGGAGAGUUGCCUUACCCAGCCGCCUCUCUCCUCCCCCCCACAUUGAGUCCUCUUUCCUCUCGUGAGUGUGGUCUUGGUGCCUCUCCGGCUCCUCUUAAUUCUCCCCGUUCACCAUUUCUGCCUUGCCGCCUUCCUGUUAUCUUCUCUCCUCGUCUCCUUCAGCAGCCAGAUGAAGACUUGGAGACGGUUUCCUUGAAUGAAGGUAGCGGCUGCUUUCGAACUUUCAGCAGCGCUGGCAGUAGUCGGCUUUGUACCGACCUGCCAAAGCCUUGGAGUUUGGACUGUAAAGCAGAGGACAUGCUUACAGGGAAGCUGAGCGGGACGGCCCGUCCCAAUUCCACUGUCAGGCUGCCCAAAAGGGUGAAGUACCUGGAGAUGGGUUGAAAACAUGCAGGGCAGAACUAGAAUAGCCUCAAGACUCUCUUUUUGUCCCCAUAAAUAAAUGAAUGAAUAAAUAAAUAACAGUCAAACAGCAUCUCUCCCGUCUGAGUGCUGAAACCAAACAGGAGGUGAAUAACCUCUGCUAUCUUAGUAAAAAAAAAAACAGGUUAAAUUCCCUCCUUUGUCUUUAAGUGAUUUUAUAAAAAAAAUAUUUGCUCUCAUUGGAGAAAAUAAUCAAAAAAAGGAGCAACAGUCAACUUAAUAAAGCUCAGACUUCGAAUGUCAAAUGGCACGAAGCCACAGCUCCCUGGCGACUAGACAGUUAAUAUGCAAACGAGGCUGGCAGCUCACUGUGAGAGGGAGGGGCUUCCUUUUAGGCCAGAUGAGAUGGUGGAGAGGAAGAAGAGGGGAGGGGAGGAGGAGGAGGAGGAGGAAGGGGAGUGAAAGGCAGUGACGGGGAAAGGAAGUGGGUUAUAAAGGGAGAAAAAAAAAAAGAACUGCUCUUCCCGCCCAGGGAGGGAGAGCGGCUGCAAAGAUACAGGUGUCCGUCUCUAAAGACCGUCUCACCCCCAUCAAAUACUAUUAGUGAAGCACGGUUAUUACAAGGAAGAGUCAUCUCUCUCUCUCUCUCUCACUAAUCAUUAUGGAAAUGAAAGCAGAGAGCAAGCAGCGAGUUGACCGGAGCCCACAAGAUGGCAAGUUCAUAACCGAGCUUCAGGGCAAACACGAGAUGAAAUCACUACUCAGGAGAGAAAGAUGAUGUUUCUCAGUGUUACUGAGAGCACCAUCAAUGGUUAACUGAAUGGGAGCGAGGCGUUAGAUCCAUCAUGGACGGCAGCCAACAAUGGACGUUUGAUCUGGCAAAUGGCUUCUUCAGAUUACCGCUUCCACAGUGAAGGGGGGAAACAUCCUUUAGGGCAGAUAUCGCUGCUCACAGUGCUUGAUGACCCUCCUGAGGUGCACUUUAGCCACUGAAUUAACUCAAGGCCAAGCCUGGCUGCUAUGAGCAUUAUUUUUAUCGUUCAAAGCAGGUUUUGACUUUAGAAAAGCAGCAUUUUUAUAACAGUUAAAAGCCAAAAAUUUCAAUAAAAGUGCAUUUUAACUCUGCUACCCAGAGAUAAUUUCUGGCCUUCCACAGUGUGUUACAUAAACAGGAUUCUUAUGUAAAUUAAAUGUGCCGUUGUGAAUAGGGUAACAGUAGGUUUGAAAGUGACUCCUCUUCAUUAAAAGCCGAAAUUUUAAACAACAAAACAACCAAUUAUUGUGGUACAACAAUCAUGCUUUGCAACUUGCAUAAAGUCACUUUGACACCUAUAAAAACUUCUAAGGGUAAAAUUUAAUGAAAAGCUGAUUCUAUAUUUUUUCAUAUCACAGUAAAGGAACAAAGUGACUUUAACAUCAGAAAAUUCUGUAUCAGUUCCUGUUUUUUGGUUUAUUUUUAUAUUUGCUUACUUUCACACUUUAAAUUAGUUAAUAAUAUAUAAACCUGGGGAGCUGAGAUUGUUUGACUGAAAAAAUAUUUAUUUACACUUCUGGUUUAAAUCGAAUAAUGGCAUUGUCCUCUCCUCUUCCAUCCUGGUCUCAGGCUGAGAGUAAACUGAUAUUAUAACAGUGAAUAAAAACAUGGUGCAAUCACAAAUUUCAGUUGAAAAAAAAGUUAAUUGCUAGUUAAUCGGUUUAGGGUAGAAGUUUACAGAAACAGAGUGUUUAACUACUAAAAAAAUUACUACACAGCUAUGGUUCUGGUUAGGUCUGUGUGAUAAGACUGAAUAAUGCAUCACCAUAUAAGUGUCAUGUAGGAGAUAUAUAUAUAUAUAAUUAUAGAUUGUUUUUAACCUACUUUUAAUAAAGGGGAAGGAAAAAAGGGUAAAUUUAAAUUGUAACUAUAGUUAAACAUAACCUUUAAAAAGAGGUCCGCUCUACCACCAUGCUUUGCUUUGCUGCGAGAGGUUGAGAGGGUAAAUCCUUCCCUCUGCCUACAUCUCCCAGAAUGCCAUGGGGUUCUGAAUCAGAGUUCAAUGAAAUUAGUCUCUUCUACUGAUAUUAAUGUCUUGUUUUUUUUAUGGUUUAUGUUUUAUUGCACAGUUCUUAUUCAGUUCUGUGCAGAAAGUUUUACGUCCUUUCUAGAGCAGAUUUCUGGGCUACAAUUCUACUCCAGUGAAUCAUUAAUAGCCACAAUUUCUGUAAUGGAAACAAAAGAGCUAGAAAAAGAGCCCCAGAUUAUAUUCCUGCAGGGGAAACACCUCAAAAUGAUCAAACCCAAAUCAACAAGCAUCAAUCAGCUGUAUUUACAGGUUAUUUCACACCAGCUAAUAAACUAAGACAAACACGGAUUCUGCCUUAUCUAAUAAUUAGUUUAUGAUCUUUAACUGAAGAACAUUAACCAAACAGUCUCUAACAAGAUUUAACACUCAAGAGGAAGCUUGGACACCUCCAGGCUGCCAACAAAUUGGUUAAAUAACAGCUUUUCUAAGACAUGUUGAUCAGAGCUUAUUUGUUUACAUAUGAAGUCAAAAGGAGAAGGUUGCAGUAACAGUUGCUUAAUAAAGCAUUUCACUUUGACCACAAAAAUUG